rnacentral:rRNA from 1 species
UACGAAGGGGGCUAGCGUUGUUCGGAAUUACUGGGCGUAAAGGGCGCGCAGGCGGCGAGGCGAGUUGGGCGUGAAAGGCCUGGGCUUAACCCGGGAAUGGCGUUCGAUACUGCCUUGCUUGAGUGUGGGAGAGGAGAGUGGAAUUCCCAGUGUAGAGGUAAAAUUCGUAGAUAUUGGGAAGAACACCAGUGGCGAAGGCGGCUCUCUGGACCACAACUGACGCUGAGGCGCGAAAGCGUGGGGAGCAAACAGG